UUUUUUUUGCUGGAAAUUUUUUUCUGGAAAUUUUUUUUGGUGCUGGAAUUUUUUGCUGGAUUUUUUUUUUUGCUUCCCCUCUUUUAUCUCUUCCUCCUUUCUUCAGUUAAGGUUUCAACACCCAUCAUCACCGGCGAUUCACCGUGCCGAACGGAAAGGGGAGCGGCCACGGGGUAGAUCCGGGCAUGGGCAUGGACAAUGGGGUGUGUGAUGGUGCUGGCGGCAGACAGCAUGGGAGAGUGGGAGUGGUGCUGGUGGCAGACAGCAUGGGAGA